ensembl:rRNA 5S_rRNA 5S ribosomal RNA
GCUUACGGCCAUACCAGCCCAAGAACGCCCGGUCUCGUCUGAUCUCGGAAGCUAAGAAGGCUUGGGCCUGUUAGUACUUAGAUGGGAGACCUGCUGGGAAUACCAGGUGCUGUAAGUU